CGUACUGACUGACUAAGUUACUUACUUACUGACUUACCGACUGACUUACCGAUUGACUUACUAACUUACUGACUGACUUACUAACUUACUAACUUACUGACGUACUGACUGACUUACUAACUGACUUAUUGACUGACUUACUCACUGACUAAGUUACUUACUGACUUACUAAGUUACUUAUUGACUGACUUACUAACUGACUUA